AGAUCAUCGACGACCUCACGAGCCUGGUGGAGAACACGGACGACCGGCUGCGCAGCCAGACACGGCACGUGAGGAUGGUGGAGAAGAAAUCCACGUCCUGCGGGAUGCUGGUGGUGAUCGUGCUGCUGCUCAUCGCCAUCGCCGUGGUCGCGCUCUGGCCCACGGGUUAACCCCGACCCCGCCGGAGCAGCUGCGCCAGGGGAGCUCCGGGGCUCGGGGAGGGACCUGCUGAGGGCAGGGAACGGACUCCAUCCAUCGCUGGGAAAGAACUCCACAGCUGGGAAUGAACUCCACAGCUGGGAAUGAGCUCCAUCCAUCGCUGGGAUUGAACUCCACUGCAGCAGACUGAAGCAGCGCCCACCAGACAUCCGCUGUCCCUGGAGCGCGGCUGAGGAGCUCUGUGGGAUCUGGGGGAUUUCAGGGGGAAAAAGGAUUUCACCCACUCGUCCCACCUUCCUCUGGCACUCAGGCAGCUGCAGCUGUGGGAUGGACCCACCUCUCCUGCACCUGGGACAUGCUGGUGCUGCUGCCCUGCCCAUCUCGCUGAGCCCAGACAUCCCAGGGGCUCCAGACACCGAAAUCCAGGCAUGGUUUGGAGAACAGCAACUGGAACAGCAGCUGGAGAACAGCAACUGGAACAGCAGCGUUCCCCUGCUCUGGGCUCCCUCUUUCACAGGGAAAGUGCUCCGUGGUUUUCAUGGAAUAGCCUUGGGGAAUGGCUGCAUCCUGAUUCCCCAGGAUGGGAAGCGACAGCCCUGCAGGGCCCCCGUGGGCUGCACGGGAUCGUGGCUGACUGGCUCAGUGUUCAGCCCCUGGGGGAGUUAUUGCUGGGUUAUUGAUCCCCAGGGGUAGUUACUGGUGGGUUACUGAUCCCCAGGGGUAGUUACUGGUGGGUUAUUGAUCCCCGGGGGUAGUUAUUGGUGGGUUAUUGAUCUCCAGGGAUGGGAACUGAACAGCAGCAGGACUCAGCCCAGCCCGUGAGAGUGGAGAGCUUUGCCCUCGUGUGCUCCCCAGGGGCUCUGCCAGCCUGGCCUCGGGAGAUGCACCACAAUUAACGUCCUCACUGAGCUCUGGCUCUUCUUUGACAGCUCCUCACACCCUUCUACAGCUGAGAGGAAGGAUUGCCUAUUUCAAAACUAAUGAAAAAGAAGUAUUAAAUGUUUGCUUCUGGCCAAGAGAAUAAUUAUUUUGUUACACAUGUCAGUUUGAUUUCAGGAUUAAUUGAGCAAGCAAUAAAUACUGAUUAAAGCAGAUCCA
rnacentral:lncRNA from 1 species